rnacentral:rRNA from 1 species
UAAGGAGGGUGCAAGCGUUAUCCGGAAUCACUGGGUUUAAAGGGUGCGUAGGCGGAAUUAUAAGUCAGUGGUGAAAGAUUGCGGCUUAACCGUAGAAUUGCUAUUGAUACUGUUAUUCUUGAGUAUAGUUGAGGUCGGCGGAAUGUGUAAUGUAGCGGUGAAAUGCUUAGAUAUUACACAGAACACCAAUUGCGAAGGCAGCUCACUAAGCUGUUACUGACGCUGAGGCACGAAAGCGUGGGGAGCAAACAGG